CCUACGGGUGGCAGCAGUCGGGAAUAUUGGACAAUGGGGGGAACCCUGAUCCAGCGACGCCGCGUGAGUGAAGAAGUAUUUCGGUAUGUAAAGCUCUAUCAGCAGGGAAGAAAGAAAUGACGGUACCUGACUAAGAAGCCCCGGCUAACUACGGGCCAGCAGCCGCGGGAAUACGUAGGGGGCAAGCGUUAUCCGGAUUUACUGGGUGUAAAGGGAGUGUAGACGGGGAUGCAAGUCUGAAGUGAAAGGCGGGGGCCCAACCCCAGGACUGCUUUGGAAACUGUAUGGCUUGAGUGCAGGAGAGGUAAGUGGAAUUCCUAGUGUAGCGGUGAAAUGCGUAGAUAUUAGGAGGAACACCAGUGGCGAAGGCGGCUUACUGGACUGUAACUGACGUUGAGGCUCGAAAGCGUGGGGAGCAAACAGGAUUAGAUACCCCAGUAGUC
rnacentral:rRNA from 1 species